rnacentral:rRNA from 1 species
GACGAACCUUGCUAACGUUAUUCGGAAUUACUGGGCUUAAAGGGUGCGUAGGCGGUGCAGAAAGUUGGGUGUGAAAGCCCUCGGCUCAACCGAGGAAUUGCGCCCAAAACUGCUGCACUAGAGGAAGACAGAGGUACGCGGAACUUAGGGUGGAGCGGUGAAAUGCGCAGAUAUCGGGAGGAACACCGGUGGCGAAGGCGGUUCUCUGGGCCUUACCUGACGCUGAGGAGCGAAAGCGUGGGGAGCGAACAGG